ensembl:lncRNA
CAUGCCCAGAUGGUCCUAUUGGACCCCAGGUGGUCCUGCCAUAAAUGGAAAGACCCCAGAUGGAGGGGAAGGGAGUUCACAGCUGUCCCUAAGGCAACUUACCCUAUUCCAGAUUGAGCUUGUGGAAUCCCCAGAUGUAGCCACUUCUCUUCCUACCACAGUCAGUAGGAGGCAGCUGGUGUUGGUAUGGGAAAGCAGGAAGGUCAGAUCCCCAGGACAAGGAGAGCCUCGGCAGGCACAAGGGGCUUAUCUGACCAGUUGCCCACCCAAGAUGGACUGGCCAUGAGCAGGACUUAAGGUUCCAUAUAGGGUGCCAUAUUUGUUAUGCCCAAAGGGGGGGGUCAUCUGCCAGCCGCAAGAUGUGCCAAUAAUCAAGAGGCAAGGUGUUGGCUUCCCUUAUGUCAACCUUGAGUGGUGCAUGUAACAUGGGGACAUCGGAGCAUCCAGUCAGGCAGACGCCCUUCUGAGCGACGGAGCAGGUGGCACAUCCGAGAAAUAGCCCUGGAUGCUGUGUCUCAUUUGGCCCUUGAAGCCUGUAGGAAAAGAAGGUUCCCUCAGUUCUCCUCACGCAGCCUCAGGGGCCACACGACCCCUCACCCCUGACCUCUCCUCCCAGAGACUUCUCUCAAGUUUUCUCCACGUCCCACCCCUCAUGACUGAAGGCCCAAGUCCCUGGACACUGCCUGGAAGCCAUGCUGUUGUUGCUGGCCCUCCCACUCCUCUCAGGGGCUGCCUGCGGCACCCAUGAGACGCAGGGCCCAGGCGGCUCCUACUCCUACAUCAGGGGAGGAGCGGGGGAGACCCAGGCCAUCGGGUCUUCAUGGGGAUAAUGGGCCUCAUCAAGGGGUGAGUAAGACCCGGGGCCCUGGGCUGGGUCCCCACAUGGUCCCCGAAUGUGCUGACUCCACACUGCUUCUCCGAGGAUGCUUUCAAACCCCCGGAGCCCCUAGAGCAGGCCCUGCCCUUCCACCUCUGCUUCCUCCCGACCUCACCCCUGUGCCCUCACACUCAACCCCGUGGCCUGGCCUGAUGUACCACCCAGGGCCAGGAUGCUGGAGGGAGAGGGAACGACACAGGCUGGGGGUGAGGGGAUGGGUAGCCAGUUCUGACCGAGGCUGCUGAAAAAGCCUUGAAGUUCCCAAGGACCAGCUUCACGGUGUCAGGAUGGUGUCAUCUGGAGGAUCGCCUCUCUGGAAUUUUCUGGCUGCCUUAGGUUCCCUGGCUAGUAAACGGCAGAAACCCGCUCAGGAAGACCACCAGCGUCUCCCCCGGUUCGUCACCUGCAGCUCUGUCUCCCCCACUGCUCCUUUGCUCUGUCCUCCAGGGCCGUCUCCCCGACAGGCCCCAUCCUCACCUCGCCCACCAGCUUCUGCCUCCAGGGGCCUCUCCUUCUUCCCCAACGCCCAAGGUAUCUUGGGGUAGGGUUGCCAAACCCACUAAAUAAAUAUACAGUACAUGCAGUUAAAUUUGAAUUUCAGAUACACAUGCAUUCUUCUUAGUAUAAGUAUGUAUCAUGCAGUAUUUGUGACACAGUAAAAAAAAUCAGUAUUUGGGACAUAGUUAUACUUUUAAAAAUGCAAUGUUUGAUGUAUACUUACACAAAAAAAUUAUUUGCUAUUUCUCUGAAUUUCAAAUUUAACUGGGUGUCCUGCAUAUUAUCUGGCAACAUUCUUGGGGUGUGUCUUGCAUGUAAGAGCAGGAAGCAGCUGGCUCCAGAGUGGACUAGACCCU